AGAGAUGUGUGAUGACGCAUAUCAAUAAGCGGAGGAAAAGAAACUAACAAGGAUUCCCCUAGUAACGGCGAGUGAAGCGGGAAGAGCUCAAAUUUGAAAUCUUCAAGGUUCUACCUUGACGAAUUGUAGUUUAUAGAAGUGUUUUCUGUUAGUAGAGUGGCAAAAGUUCUUUGGAAUAGGACAUCAUAGAGGGUGAGAAUCCCGUAUUUGGUCAUUCUUUCUAGCUUGUGAUACACUUUCAACGAGUCGGAUUGUUUGGGAAUGCAGUCCAAAAUGGGUGGUAAAUUUCAUCUAAAGCUAAAUAUUGGCGAGAGACCGAUAGCGAACAAGUACCGUGAGGGAAAGAUGAAAAGAACUUUGAAAAGAGAGUUAAACAGUACGUGAAAUUGUCUAAAGGGAAGCGUUUGACACCAGUGUUGUUUUUCCGAAAAUCAAUUACGAAUGUUUUGUUUUUGAGAAGUUAUGACUUCAUCGGCUUGCUUCUCUCUUUAUGAAACUUUCUUAAUGCACUUUUCGGUUAACAAGUCAACAUCAAUUUCUUUUGUUGUAAAAGGGUAUGAGGAAGGUGGCUUUCUUUUCGGAGAAAGUGUUUAUAGCCUUGUAGCCUCUGCAAUCGGAGAGAUUGAGGUCUGCAGCGUAGAUCCUUCGGGGUUAGAUACAUUUGUGCUAAGUUAUAGCUUUUCAUAGACAACUUGUUGACUAUGUUAAGUCUUGUAGCUUACUCGCUUAUGCUAUUUUACCUACGCUUAGGAUGUUGAUCUGUAGUGCGUGCGC
rnacentral:rRNA from 1 species